ensembl:snRNA U6 U6 spliceosomal RNA
GUGUUCGCUUCGACGGCACAUACACUAAAAUUGGAACAAUGCAGAUUAGCAUGGCCCCUGUGCAAGGAUGACUCAAAAAUUCGUGAAGCAUUCCAUAUUUUA